GAUACCAAGGUCAAAAGUUCAAAUAGGCGUUCGUGCUUUCACGAAAAGCCUUUUGAACCUGGGACCCGCCAAACAUGAGAAAGUAGCGAUUUACAUAGUAAAUCAGCGGAUUUCAAAUGUUUGCAAAUUGCGAAAGUUGCUUUGCAACGGAGCAAUUCGUAGGUAUC
rnacentral:sRNA from 1 species